GGGGGCGUUCUGGUUUCGACGGGUCGUCUUAGUUCGGGGCUGCAUGCCGAGGAUGGUUCGUUGGCCUCGUAAAUCAUCGGACCAAACAAACAACAGCAAACUCUAACGAGCUCGCUCUCGCGGCCUAAGCACCGCGACGUCCUUUCAGUAAUGUCUAGUAGCUGAAACGACGUCUUUACUAGACUGGUCAAAAGACCGCGCACGCGGGUCUGAGAUGAGAUGAACAGGGUGCUGGGUGAAGCGGAUGCAGUCUUUAGCAGCCCCCCACCGAGACUAAACAUAAGACUGAGCAUGGAGACGCCACGGAUGAUGGUGAUUCGGACAGGGGUUCAACUCCCCUCGCCUCCACCA
rnacentral:tmRNA from 1 species